rnacentral:rRNA from 1 species
AGCGGGAAGAGCUCAAAUUUAUAAUCUGGCACCUUCGGUGUCCGAGUUGUAAUCUCUAGAAAUGUUUUCCGCGUUGGACCGCACACAAGUCUGUUGGAAUACAGCGGCAUAGUGGUGAGACCCCCGUAUAUGGUGCGGACGCCCAGCGCUUUGUGAUACAUUUUCGAAGAGUCGAGUUGUUUGGGAAUGCAGCUCAAAUUGGGUGGUAAAUUCCAUCUAAAGCUAAAUAUUGGCGAGAGACCGAUAGCGAACAAGUACCGUGAGGGAAAGAUGAAAAGCACUUUGGAAAGAGAGUUAACAGUACGUGAAAUUGUUGGAAGGGAAACGCUUGAAGUCAGACUUGCUUGCCGAGCAAUCGGUUUGCAGGCCAGCAUCAGUUUUCCGGGAUGGAUAAUGGUAAAGAGAAGGUAGCAGUUUCGGCUGUGUUAUAGCUCUCUACUGGAUACAUCCUGGGGGACUGAGGAACGCAGUGUGCCUUUGGCGGGGGUUUCGACCUCUUCACACUUAGGAUGCUGGUGGAAUGGCUUUAAACGACCCGUCUU